rnacentral:lncRNA from 1 species
AAUCUCGUGAAGUUUACAAUCGCAGUAAAUAAGUGCAUUUCGAUAUGACUGUGUUUUCAUAUUAAAUACUCGACAAUACCAACAGUGACGGGUAUUACUGUACACAAGCAUUCUUCAGUUACUAUAUCAUUACGAGCUGCCAGAUUGUACUCAACUCACGUUAAAGUGAGUCAUUGAACUACCAGCGUUGUAAGUCAUAAUCUACCUCAGAGCGCUCCUCUUAAAAUCUGCAAAUGAAGUGCUUGUUAAAAUCGACUGCCCGGACGACGUUAGGUCUGCUGACACUGUGUAUUGCAUUGGAAGCAUUUCCGUAUAUAUGUUCAGAUUGCUUCCCAGACGAUGAAAGAUGCAUUUUGAAAUGUUCACUGCAAGGACAGGAAACGAACAACCUUGACUCCAUGUCAAAUGUAAACUCGAACCGGAAACGAUUUCAACAACAACUAAGGUUCGGGAAGCGCGGCCCCGUUGGGGUUACGGACCAGGCGAAUGACCUGGAGGAAUCCUUUCGCCCACAGCUACGGUUUGGGAAGCGAUCACGAUUGCCGUCCAAACGGAGAUUUAUGUCACAUAUGCGUUUCGGAAAACGCGAUUUCCAAUUCGAUUACAAAUCAUUACAGCCACAAGAAAGAUCCGGACGCAUUCCGGAUGCAGAGAUAUCUUCUCUGGACACGCCGAGAUCCAGUACGGGAGUUUUGGAAAUACCAGCUAUUUUCUACGGCCAAGGUCAAGAAAAGAGAUUCCGACCCCAAGGUCGUUUUGGGAAAAGAUUGAGGCCAGGUUAUGAGACGAUCAGCGAAACCAAUAACUUACCAUUAUAUAAAGGCAGUCCACAGACUACAUCCAAGGAAGAGCUCACCUUCGAUUUUGACGAUAUGGCUGUUAUAGGUUAUCAACUGCCAGAAAAGUAAUACCAGUAAUACCGGAUAUGCGUACCAUGAUUACAGAUUCUGUUUGUAUCUUUAGGAAAUCUGAAAAUAAGGAGGAUUACUGCACAUAUCCCGUAUUACCCAUGCUGUCUGUUAAAGUUGCAAGACCUCUUUCACCAGAACGAAAAUUCUUGCUAUAUUGGGCGUGUUUCAGUUUUACAAUAUAUAGUUAUGAGUUGGACUCAACCAAGACCAAAUGCAUAUUACUACUUAUAUAAUACCAAUGCUUUCAUGAAAAACUACAUCAAACCAUUUAAGAAACAAACAAUCCUAUGCUAUCGCGAACGACAGGAAAACCCGAAAGCUAAAGGCAUUCAAGGACAAGACAUGAAGGUAAACGAACUUAUAGUAAAAGUGGUUCCAAAAUAAUUGAAUAAAAGUCUCCAAUUUUUCACAAAGUACAAAAUACAAUGAAGUUGACUCUCUUUUGGAAGAUGUUUGUGACGAACGGAACGAAAGUAAUCAUCUUAUCACAGAAAAUACAUAUAGAACGGAAAUGGAAAAAAUGCAAAUAUAAUAAAGACGAAACAGAACGCAACAUAAAAUUAUUUUGAUUUGUAAGAUAAAGAAACUCAAUGAUGGACAUCUUUGACGCCCUUUGUAUCGACACGUUUUCCUAUUAGAUGUUGCGAAAUGUUAAUGCGUCCGGCAUGAAAUAUCUUUGUUGGAACAGCAACUUUUAGUUGUUUCAUUGGCAUGAAAUCUUAAUCCAAAAAAAUAAUUGUUUCCUCGGAGUAACAUUUCUAGUUGGGUUCGAGUGUAAUAUUUUCGAGUGGUAAAAAUACAGGAGAAUAAAACCGGAUCAAAACACAAAAGGAAAAGGGAAGACAAAAGAGAAAAGGAAAGGAAAAAAACCGAAUAGGGCUGAAUUAGACGAGUAGUACGUCUUUCAGAGUAGUUGUCAGGAAAAAUAAGUAUUAUCAUUUUGAGGUUAGUACCAGGCUUAACUUCAAACUUUGAUUCAAUCACGAAAUGAAAAGCUUUCGGGUAUUUUCGACUGAUUUUCAGACAGUUUUUUCCCCGUUGCAUUCGUUUAUAAAUUUCUGAAACCAUGAUUCACUUUUUCCAUAUGCAAUAUACUUUAACCAUAUAAUUUUCAUCAACUAGAUCAAUCAUUAUGAACGUUCUGUGGGAACACCAUGUUUCGUAGAUAGGAAAAAUAAAUCAAAUAAAUCCGUUUGACAUGUUUGUACUUCACCUUGCUACGUAAUCAUAUUUGCUUAAAUUGUAAAAUGCCAAUUUGUUGUUUCCUAAGAUAAUGUACCAUCAAUAUCUCAUGCACUCAUUAUUCUAUUUAUUUGUUAUUUUUACUAUUUUCACAGUCUAUCAAAUCUUUAUGUCGUCGUAUGAAACUGUACUAUUUUCCGUUUUAUUUAACUGGAAAUAAAAUCUCAGUCAACUUGUAUCCUUACUUUUGAAUGUGAAAUUGUUAUAUCUUUUGAUACAACAAAAGCAUCUUGCAUAAAUGACAGCAUCAUCAUUUGUAACUGGAUGCUGGUACUACUGAUCUCCCUUGUUAAGCCGCCAGUACCAUGCGAACAAAAAUAUAAUUUAUUUAGAGAUAUAAUUUAUAUCUAGCUGCUUAACGAUGCCUGAACUACUGGUUCCAAGUAAAUCUAAAUAUGAAACAUAUUAUAUAUAUUUUUGAUUAACGAUUUGUAUUCCAUUUUCAUCAUUAUGAGUGCACAGAAUAUUGUGAGUGACAGUGAAUGCUAUAUAUUGUGCGGUAUGGAAGAAAAUCCGCCCUUUUGUCAGCACACACAAACACCAAACGUAAUUAAACAGUGACAGGGAUAACCAAAAUAAAUAAAAACUACGGAAUUGUCUGUAAGCCUUACAUCCUUUCAAAAGAUUGUUUCAAGAAAUGACAUAGAAUUGUUAGCAUUUUUGAAGGAAGAUAUCACAAUUUAUAUAAUUUAGUUUUCAUACCUGCUGUACAUGUACACGAACAAGGCUAAUAGGAUUCCUUUGUAACGAAUGUGAAAGCUAACAUCGUUUCGUAGGAUUUCCUACAAAACCGCCAGAAUUUUACAAGAUAACAAGUAACUAUCACAUAUUUCAAUCUGAGUGAAAAUUGACUCUUUACGAGAAACGUGUUACUGCAUGAAUUCAAAAGUAUAAAGUUUACCAACCACGGAGCUCAAAAAGAGUCUGAUAGAAAACAAAACUGUAGACCAUGUCAGUAAUUAGUUGCUAACUUACGCAAUAGCAUAGUGAAAAAGUGAAUUUUAAAAUUGAUAAAAUUAGUGAGAUAAAUUUUAAUUUUCGAUCGCUUUUUUUUUUUAUUAACUGCGAUAUCAUAUAUCCCGCGAAAUAUAUUUGUUUUACAGUAACAGAUGAUGCAACGACACUCAGUAUAGCAAUGGAACUGAUCCAAAGAUAAAGACACGACUAUAUAUCAUAUGACAAAGAUUACCGCCAAUAUCUAUGCUUUA